rnacentral:rRNA from 1 species
AGUGAACGCUGGCGGUAGGCCUAACACAUGCAAGUCGAACGGCAGCACAGUAAGAGCUUGCUCUUACGGGUGGCGAGUGGCGGACGGGUGAGGAAUACAUCGGAAUCUACUUUUUCGUGGGGGAUAACGUAGGGAAACUUACGCUAAUACCGCAUACGACCUACGGGUGAAAGCAGGGGAUCUUCGGACCUUGCGCGAUUGAAUGAGCCGAUGUCGGAUUAGCUAGUUGGCGGGGUAAAGGCCCACCAAGGCAACGAUCCGUAGCUGGUCUGAGAGGAUGAUCAGCCACACUGGAACUGAGACACGGUCCAGACUCCUACGGGAGGCAGCAGUGGGGAAUAUUGGACAAUGGGCGCAAGCCUGAUCCAGCCAUACCGCGUGGGUGGAGAAGGCCUUCGGGUUGUAAAGCCCUUUUGUUGGGAAAGAAAAGCAGCAGGUUAAUACCCCGCUGUUCUGACGGUACCCAAAGAAUAAGCACCGGCUAACUUCGUG